rnacentral:rRNA from 1 species
UACGAGAUCCGAGCGUUAUCCGGAAUUAUUGGGUUUAAAGGGUGCGUAGGCGGCCAUUUAAGUCAGCGGUGAAAUUUUGCAGCUUAACUGUAACAGUGCCGUUGAUACUGUUUGGCUAGGAUUUGGUUGUAGUGUGCGGAAUGUGUGGUGUAGCGGUGAAAUGCUUAGAUAUCAGGAGGAACACCGAUGGCGAAGGCAGGUCACUGGGCCACUACUGACGCUGAGAAGCGAAAGCAUGGGGAGCGAACAGGAUUAGAUA